GGACCAUAAUGGAAGCACAGGAAGUACAGAGUAAAAGGAAUAUUUCUAGAAUAACAAACUUUAGAAAGGGGUCACCAGAGAGACAAGGGCAUUGCAACUCUGUAGGAGCCACUAUUCCAGGGAUCAUAAACUUGUUCCAACUUUCAGGAUGGAGGUCCCCUGGGGAACCCAUGUCACUACUAACACAAAUACUGCCAUAAUUUGAAAAUUCAUUGAAGCUUUGACAUUUGAAAAACUUCACCCAGCUCUAGUCUGGGUUAUAUUAACUCUUGUAUCCCUGACCCAUGUCAGGGGAUGGGGAGCCAGGACAUGAAACCAGUCCCUUACCAGCAUUCCUGUAUGUCCGCCUGUGUGUACAGCUAAACGAAAUGAACGAAGACACUGGCAAUCUGUUUCUUUAGGACAUCCAGAGUACUACUGAGAAUGUUCUUGUGAUGAAAGGUAACGAACAUCACCUUGGUCACUGAUCGUGGAAAAACACCCUGAGCAGCAAAUACAGGCUCCAGGCCACCUCGGUGGCCAAAACAAUACUGUUUCAAGAGUGAGUGGCUAUAUGUACAGA